ACGCUCGACACCUACGGGAAGCAGCAGUGGGGAAUAUUGCACAAUGGGGGAAACCCUGAUGCAGCGACGCCGCGUGAAGGAAGAAGUAUCUCGGUAUGUAAACUUCUAUCAGCAGGGAAGAAAGUGACGGUACCUGACUAAGAAGCCCCGGCUAACUACGUGCCAGCACGCCGGACGGUUAAUCUGGAGGCGGGCGUGGACGAAGGC
rnacentral:rRNA from 1 species